UUGGGUCCCCUUCCACACUGUGGAAGCUUUGUUCUUUCGCUCUUCACAAUAAAUCUUGCUGCUGCUCACUCUUUGGGUCUGCGCCACCUUUAUGAGCUAUAACACUCACUGCAAAGGUCUGCAGCUUCACUCCUGAAGUCAGCGAGACCAUAAACCCACCAGGAGGAAUAAAUAACUCCAGACGCGCCACCUUUAAGAGCUGUAACACUCACCGCAAAGGUCUGCAGCUUCACUCCUAAAGUCAGCAAGACCAUGAACCCACCAGAAGGAAGAAACUCCGGACACAUCCAAACAUCAGAAGGAACAAACUCUGGACACACCAUCUUUAAGAACUGUAACACUCACCACAAGGGUCCAUGGCUUCAUUCUUGAAGUCAGAGAGACAAAGAACCCACCAAUUCUGGACACAUUUUGGCGACCAUGAAGGGACCAUCACCUUUCGCCAAGCAGUGAGAUUAUCACCUAUCGCCAAGUGAAUCGAGGCCAUCAAGCUACUGAUGGUCUUACAAAUGGAACCCUAAAUGAGCUCAACUAACAACUUCUACUGAGGACCCCUGGACCGACCCACCGGUCCUUUCACUGGCCUAAAGAGUUAACCUCUGGAGGACACCACAACUGCAGGGCCCCUUCUUCACCCCAUCCAGCAGAAAGUAGCUAGAGCAGUCAUCGGCCAAAUUCCCGACAGCAGUUGGGGUGUCCUGUUUAGAGAUGGGAUUGAGAGGUGAAGCCGGCUGGGCUUCUGUGUCAGGUGGGGACUUGGAGAACUUUUCUGUAUAGCUAAAGGAUUGUAAAUGCACCAAUCAGCUCUCUGUGUCUAGCUAAAGGAUUGUAAAUGCACCAAUCUGUGCUCUGUGUCUAGCUAAAGGUUUGUAAAUGCACCAAUCAGCACUUGGUAAAAACGGGCCAAUCAGCACUCUGUAAAACAGAACAAGCAGCACUCUGUAAAACAGAACAAGCAGCGCUCUGUAAAAUGGACCAAUCAGUAGGAUGUGGGUGGGGCCAAAUAAGGGAAUAAAAGCAUGCUGCCCGAGCCAGCAGCAGCAACCCGCUGGGGUCCCCUUCCACGCUGUAGAAGCUUUGUUCUUUCGCUCUUUGCAAUAAAUCUUGCUGCUGCUCA